GAUGAACGCUGGCGGCGUGCCUAAUACAUGCAAGUCGAGCGGACGGACGAGAAGCUUGCUUCUCUGAUGUUAGCGGCGGACGGGUGAGUAACACGUGGGUAACCUACCUAUAAGACUGGGAUAACUUCGGGAAACCGGAGCUAAUACCGGAUAAUAUUUUGAACCGCAUGGUUCAAAAGUGAAAGACGGUCUUGCUGUCACUUAUAGAUGGAUCCGCGCUGCAUUAGCUAGUUGGUAAGGUAACGGCUUACCAAGGCAACGAUGCAUAGCCGACCUGAGAGGGUGAUCGGCCACACUGGAACUGAGACACGGUCCAGACUCCUACGGGAGGCAGCAGUAGGGAAUCUUCCGCAACGGGCGAAAGCCUGACGGAGCAACGCCGCGUGAGUGAUGAAGGUCUUCGGAUCGUAAAACUCUGUUAUUAGGGAAGAACAUAUGUGUAAGUAACUGUGCACAUCUUGACGGUACCUAAUCAGAAAGCCACGGCUAACUACGUG
rnacentral:rRNA from 1 species